GGUGUUUGUCUUCCCAAGUAACCGUCACACAUGAUGGAGCCCUGCUUUCCUGGAGAAGGCUGAACAACUGACUGCCGUUGGGAAGUGCUUCCUCUUCUGUGUUGCCUACACAAGGGCUGAGAGGGUUUUAUUCUACACUGAGUGAAAACCAGAUUAAGGUUGGCUGUUUAAUGCAAUGUUACUCAUACUUCAAAGGGAUGAAGACAGAGAUGAAGUUUUACUGUCUUGAUGGCUUAACCUGUCUGUCAUAUAAAGCCAGCACUUCAUUUUCUGAGUCAUUCUUUCAUGGAGGGAGUCUGCUUUACAUAUCAGGCCUCAGGGUGUGGUGUGGGAAGUACACUGUGGAUUAUUUUCCUGCUAUUGCUGGAGGCUGUUUGUUUGCUGCCUAUUGAAGUAUGUAACAGAGAGGCAAGAAGAUAAGGUUCUGACAUUUCUGAUUAAAAUUUUAACUGCU